CACCUCCUCCCGCUGCUGCUCCGCGUCGGCUCCGGGGCGGCCAACUUAAUCAAGCCCGCAGCAGCAGCGGCAGCAGCAGGAGCCACCAGCGGAGCCCCGUCGCUGCUGCCUGGCGCUCGUGCGUGUCUCUCACAGUCCGGCACCGGGGAGCGAAAGAGUAUCAACGAGAGUCCGAAAAUCCAGCAUCCAAAAGAGCCAGGUCCGCGCCUGCCUCCUCCUGCCAGCGCCGCCUCUCCUCCGCGCUGCUCUGCUCCGCUCUGCUCUUCUCCUCUUCUUCUCCUUCCUGCGGCGGCGACGGCUGCUGCUGCUGCUGCUCCCGGGCGCGCUCUCUGUUCCCGAGCUGCUGCUCCGUUUCCCCUCCUCCUCCUCCUCCUCCCUCUCACUCACUCUCUCUCUCUUUCUCCCUCUCUCUCCCUCUCCUUCUUCCUUCCCUCUUCGCUCUUUUUUCCCCCUUCCUCCUUUCCUUUCCUUUUUUUUCUUUUUAGCACAUUCCUUUGCUACAAAUAAAAGCGAGGUGUUCAAGCCUCCCGCCCCCCUUCCCACAAAAAGUGCAGUGCAAACAAAAGCGAAGAAAGAGGGCAGGGGGUGGGCGGAGUGGGAGGGCAGAGGCACGGGAAAAAUCACCAGAAACGGUCCCCGAGAGUCGAAACACGAGCAACCCUCCUUCCGCUCCUCCUCGCCCCUCGGGGAGAGAAGGGGGACGCCGUGGGGACGAUGGGGACGGCGCUCCCCGUUUCGUGGUCUGGAUUCAAAAUGUAACCUUCAUGGGAAGAAGAUACCACUAAAUUUUAAGGACAGCAGUGGACAGCUAAGACUAGAAUCUCGGAAAUAUUUUCUAAUAUCAGAAGAAGAAAAUGGAAUCCACUAAAGGAAAACCAACAGCCGGAUGACAGCUUGCUAGUUCACAUCUUUUACAACAGCAAAACAAAAAUUAGACACCGUGCAUUACUUAGUGUUUGUGAUUAUUUAAUGGGUGCUCUAAAUGCAUUAGGGAGACUAAAGCACCAUUUUGCACACAGAGGUCAGAGAUCACAGUCUGUAUAACACUACUUGAUCAAAAUCUUGAUACACUACUUCAUGUAAAUACUCAUAAGUAGCAGAAUUCAUGUAUUUAAAAACUCAUGAAGAUACUAAUACUGUAACUCAUUCACAGAACUGAAAGAUUUUGUUAAUAUUUCACUUGAACACUGACUUAUAGUUCCUAAGGAGACACUGCUGGGUAGUUUACACAUCUUCUUUUAUAUAAAAGUAUCCAAAAAUGCUUUCUAGAAAACAGGAUCUCACAAACUAACAACAACUGGUCCAAAUGAAGUCUCAUCAAUAUGAAUGUUUGUUCCCUUCUGCAAAAUUUCAGGGAGAUUCAGAUCACAACAUCUUAUAUGGCAGUGCUAUGCUGUCAGGGGGCUGAACAGGAUAUAGAGGGAGGAAAAUGAAAAGUCUUAGUUUAUUUCCCAGCCUUGAACCUUUUCCUUCUUGAAUAUAGGAGUGUUAUGGAAGAAGCUACUCAGUCAUCUGAGGGAGGGAGUGUUGCUCCAUCCUUCUCAUGUUGCCUUCUUUCUACACGUAAAUCAAGAGGCACAGACAAGAACUGGGAGGCAAGAAAUGGAUUGUCCCAGCAGAGGUGCUGCAUUAGGAAACCUUGCAAGACAGAAUGUGAAAAGGGAAAAUAAAAAUAUAAAAUUGUUUUCA
ensembl:lncRNA